UCCUCGUUGCAGGUUUUGCGCCAGCGAAUAAAACAGAGUAAAUCUACCUGCACCGUCAUUUUACCAGAGUUCUGUGUGAAAGUUUAACGCGCGCCAUUGAUUAUACCAGCCGCUUAUUUGACAAAUUGGUUUUCUACGCAAAAACGAAUAGUAAGGAAGAUUGAUGAAAUUAUACAAGAUAAUCAUCAAUUAAUUGCUUUGGCAUUAAAACUUUAAAAAGUGGGGUUAGGCACUUUUGCCUAUGAACAGUUCAUACGUAAAUAUCUAAGUAGCAAUUUCUAACUACAUUUAUCUGUGUUCCCUGUAAUUUCAUAGUGAAGGGAAAGAAAUUGGCGGGUGGGAAAAACCGAAGGACUAACGGAGGAAAAAUGCGUUUGCAAUAAAUUCUGUGGCGGCUGAUAGCGACAAUCGGCCGACAAUGCAUCGGCACGCAUUGAUCGUGGAAUUGUGUCACAAGCGCCAUGUUCCAUCGACGCGUAACUUGCCCAUUGUAUCCACGGGGACGAAUAGGUGAUAAAAAUCUUAGUGGCAGACACGAAGGAUUUAUAUCUGUCUAUACGCAGGUGCUGCACAAAUGUAUUUUCAUGUUACGUGGAUUUAACUGCGCAAACAUAACCUAUUCUAUGUUGAAAACAUUGUUCAGAUAGCAAUCUCUUUUGAUAUUAAAAUUGAUAGAAGUGAAUUUGUCAAGAAGCCCUGAGAUGAUAAAAAUCUGAGUCUAAGUGGUCUUACAAGCGCUUAAAUCGAUUCCAUAAUAUUGUAGCGCCAUAUGAAGCCGAAGUCAAUUCACUUUAAACCUCUGUCUGGUGUAUCAAUAUCUUCGAUAUAUAUGAAGUAAUUUAAAUUAUUUUUUUGCAAUACACAUCAGGUUUAUAUCAGUAUAGAUAAUAACGUAUGAAACUCUGUGAUUCAGUAUCUCGUGGUUUUUUUAAAUGCAAAUCUAAGUUUCGCAAAUAUCGUAUGGUACAGAUAUCAGAGAAUUUUCUAUGUUAUCUGAAAUCUUUGCUCUUUUAAAAGCACUCGCAUCAAUAAAAGCAAUCUCACCACACAAAUUGCCUCUUCACGAAAUAUCGAUUUCACGGUGUUAACUUAAAAGAUGUAGAACGUAAGAAACACAUUUGCAGCGACAAUUUUCAAGCACGACUGCAGUGCUACCGGUUAUCGUGCACCGAUAUGGUAUAAAUCGCGCAAUGAGUUAUCGAGCGAUGUCGGGAAAUGGCGUGAAAUGUAGGUUGCAAUAUUGUACGAGCACGGUACGAACCGCGUGUCGACCAUAUCGUGCACGGUGUCAAAACAAAUCGGGUACUUUUACCAGGUAACGCAGUCAUUAAAGACAUAACUUAUUCCUCGAUCGUGCGUCCCUUUGGCGCUGAUUUGCACGAUCGAAUCGUCGUAUACACGCCGGAUAGAUUUAUUUCCACCGCGAUCGGUCGACUGUCGGUUUCUUGAAUUAUGUCUGGGCACGCUCGCCUAUGUUCGAUCCGCGCAGAAGCGUCGUGAAUAUCUCGCGAAACUAAAUUCGACCGAGGAAUUUAUGUAAUCUAAUAUACUUAAUUGUACAUAAUGUCACAGCAUAUUGAUUUGAAGUUUAUAUACAAUGAACUUAAAUAAUGAAGUAUAAAUGUAUAGCUAAUUAAUCCUUAAAAGUUACGAAGGAAAAUUAACGCUAUCAUGACUGAAUUUUGAGUCUGGUAGAUUUCAUUUAUUCUUCUAGAAUUAUUUCAUUUCAUUCUUUUAAAAAUAAAUAAACAUGUAUUUGUUUUGUAUCAAAGUAACGUAAUUAAAUGUUUUAUGGCGACACUA